rnacentral:lncRNA from 1 species
UGGUUUAAAAUUGGUUUAGAUCACGUUUAGAUGGCAUUUACGUCGAUCUAAACGUUUAGGAAUCUAAUCUAAACGUGUUCUGAAUAUUUAAUUUGCGUUGAAAAGCUAAAUCAAACAAUUUCCGUACGGAACUAACUAAAUUAAAUUAGUUUCUUACAAAAUGUGUCGGACAUUUUGAAUCUUUCAUUAUGAUUAAAAAUUAGAGUUUCUUAUUAAUCUUAAAUUAUGUAAUAAAGGUUUAGAAAAAAUAAAAGAAAUUUGUUUUUAGUAUUAUAUUGUGGCUAAUGAAGGAGUUAAAAAGUCCUGUAAGUUCUUCGAUGAUAUUGUAUGAGCGAUUAAAAUCCAGUCAGUUGCAACAACAAUUAAAGCAGCAGGAAACAGCCAAGUACACAUGCAAGUGAUUGUUAUGAGGAUUGCAAAACUUUUAAAUAUCAAAAACUGAAGAAAGCAUUCAUAAUCAGCAGAUAUCAAAAAAGCGCAAAAGUACUGAUUUUACAACUCUUUUAAAGUUGAGGAAGAAUUUUAUGUUAAUGUUAAUGCAAAAGGUACGAAUAUUGACAGGUUAGCUAAUUUGAUGUAACAAUAAACAUGAAAUAAAGUUUGUGAAGACCUUAGUGCCAAAAAUACUUGCAUGCAUUAUUCAUGCAUGCUGUAUUAUAAUAUAGCAUGCAUGCAUGAUGCAUUUAAGUAUAAAAAAAAGUUACAAAUGUUUAAUUAUACAAAAAGAUUAUGGAUGUGGUACUGCAAGUAUAUUCAAUUGAUUAUGCAAGUAAGUUGUCCUACUUUACAUCUUUGAAGACUAAUAAUAAUUGUAAUGAACAUAUCUCAGACAAUAUACACUCGGAUUUAUAUUUUAGUUAAACCAUCACCACUUCCACAGCCACCUUGUCUCAAGCAUUAAAUCGCAUUCUAAGAUAUCUUUAUUCAAAUUAAGUGUGACUACUUUACCAAAAGACUCUAGAAUGGACCAAUCAA